rnacentral:rRNA from 1 species
CCUACGGGUGGCAGCAGUGAGGAAUAUUGGUCAAUGGCCGUAAGGCUGAACCAGCCAAGUAGCGUGAGGGAUGACUGCCCUAUGGGUUGUAAACCUCUUUUAUAAAGGAAUAAAGUGAGGCACGUGUGCCUUUUUGUAUGUACUUUAUGAAUAAGGAUCGGCUAACUCCGUGCCAGCAGCCGCGGUAAUACGGAGGAUCCGAGCGUUAUCCGGAUUUAUUGGGUUUAAAGGGUGCGUAGGUGGGCUUUUAAGUCAGUGGUGAAAGUCUGUGGCUCAACCAUAAAAUUGCUGUUGAUACUGGGAGUCUUGAGUAUAUUUGAGGCAGGCGGAAUGCGUGGUGUAGCGGUGAAAUGCUUAGAUAUCACGCAGAACCCCGAUUGCGAAGGCAGCCUACCAAGCCAUGACUGACGCUGAUGCACGAAAGCGUGGGUAUCAAACAGGAUUAGAUACCCGUGUAGUC